GACGAACGCUGGCGGCGUGCUUAACACAUGCAAGUCGAACGGUGAAGCCCUUCUGGUUUGAUCAGUUGCGAACGGGUGCGUAACACGUGCGCAACCUGCCCCUGGCUCUGGGACAACCACUGGAAACGGUGGCUAAUACCGGAUACGACCCGCCUCGGCAUCGAGUGUGGGUGGAAAGUUUUUCGGCUGGGGAUGGGCUCGCGGCCGAUCAGCUUGUUGGUGAGGUUGAGGCUCACCAAGGCGACGACGGGUAGCCGGCCUGAGAGGGCGACCGGCCACACUGGGACUGAGACACGGCCCAGACUCCUACGGGAGGCAGCAGUGGGGAAUAUUGCACAAUGGGCGGAAGCCUGAUGCAGCGACGCCGCGUGCGGGAUGACGGCCUUCGGGUUGUAAACCGCUUUCACCUCCGAAGAAGCGAAAGUGACGGUAAGGGGAGAAGAAGCACCGGCUAACUACGUG
rnacentral:rRNA from 1 species